CCCGGCGCUCCACCCCGUUGCACCGUUAAAACCGAUGGUAUAGGAGUGUCGGGGGGGUAAGCGGAAUUCCCCUAUAUGUAGCGGGAAAAAAUAAGAAGAUAUAAGGAGGAACCCCCAGUGGGGGGGGGCGGGUUUCCUGCAGAAUAACUACGCUGAGGGCUCGAAAGGGGGAGGAGCAAAACAAGAAUUUGAUACCCCGGUAGUCCACGCCGUAAAACGAUGAAUACUAGGGUGGGGGGGGAGCAAUGCUUCUCGGUGCCGUCGCAAACGCAGUAAGUAUUCCUCCUGGGGAGUACGUUCGCAAGAAUGAAACUCAAAGGAAUGAACGGGGACCCGCACAAGCGGUGGAGCAUGUGGUUUAAUUCGAAGCAACGCGAAGAACCUUACCAAGUCUUGACAUCCUUCUGACCGGUACUUAACCGUACCUUCUCUUCGGAGCAGGAGUGACAGGUGGUGCAUGGUUGUCGUCAGCUCGUGUCGUGAGAUGUUGGGUUAAGUCCCGCAACGAGCGCAACCCUUAUCUUUAGUAGCCAGCGGUUUGGCCGGGCACUCUAGAGAGACUGCCAGGGAUAACCUGGAGGAAGGCGGGGAUGACGUCAAAUCAUCAUGCCCCUUAUGACUUGGGCUACACACGUGCUACAAUGGCGUAAACAAAGGGAAGCAAAGCUGUGAAGCCGAGCAAAUCUCAAAAAUAACGUCUCAGUUCGGACUGUAGUCUGCAACCCGACUACACGAAGCUGGAAUCGCUAGUAAUCGCAGAUCAGAAUGCUGCGGUGAAUACGUUCCCGGGUCUUGCACUCACCGCCCGUCA
rnacentral:rRNA from 1 species